UACACAUAGAGAAGUGAUGGAUGAUUCUUAAUUGUGUUUAACAAGUAGUAAAGAAAAAUACCCUUUCCUUUUAAGUGACUUGACCUGAUAGUUUCUGACAAAAGCCCUGUUACAAGCUGUUCGAUCUUUAAUGAUUAAAAAAAAAAAAAAACUAUGUGGUAACACAUGGCAUGUAUGAUCUUCUAAAUUCUCCUGUGUUACUUCCAGGGUUUUGAUAAAAUAUAUAGAUUGUGCUCCUGUAAAAGCUGUCUUGCAUUGAAACAUUUUAUCCACAACAAAGGCAGAGCAUUAAAUGCCUCAGCACAUUCUGACACAAAGUAUGAAUGAACUUUGAGGAGCAUAGAAAAGCUACAGCACUGUACACUGGAUGAAUGGGCUCAUCCAGUCUGUGUAGGAUGAGAAACUACUGGAGUAGAAGAUGGAACUCAGGAAAUGCCAAAUUUACGGUGUGAAUGGAAGAACAAAUCCAAAAAGGAAACAAAAUGUGUAAAUUGAGAGAAACAUGUCCACCUGAAGGUUUUGUUUCAAAUGAGCCAUGUCUAGUAAGAAGUUGCUGCAGCCGAGGUC